GUUAAUUCCAUCCAUUUCCACUUAAAGGAGCUGGGUGACCCUAGUGAUUUGCUGAACCUCUUGAGCCAUAUUUCUCUCAUUUGUCAAUUGAGGAUAUGACUGUCUGACUGGGUUGUUACAAAGAUUAAAAGCAGUUACAUGUGGGAUAGCUGUACCCUAACCCCUAGAUUUCUGAAGCCCCACAAAAACAGAGAUUGCAUUGUUUGUCAGGAAAUUAGCCUUUCUCUAAUUACAUCAGAUGUGCCCCAGCUAGCUUUCACUGAGGAAGUACUGUAGUUCCCAUUGUAAAGAUGAAGGAACUUCUCAAGAGUUACCCAACCAGUGAUUGGCCAAAUGAAAUCCCAGAAAAGGGAUCAGGCAGCUGGCCCCUUGCAUUUUCUUAUGCAAGAACUUGGUAAUUUUCCUUUUUGGUGUAUGACUCCACUUUCCAAUAUCUCCUUCUUAUGCACAAUAUAGCAAACCAGAGCCUUGCCCAGAGGGAAAAGAACACUGGAAACACAGGUUCUUGCAGACAUAAUUACAGUCGUUCUGUCACAGACAUCGUCUUUUUCAUUCUCCAGCAGCCCUAUUUGGCUCCUGUUUAUAAAUUCUCAUCUCUGCUGCCCACACCCUCCUCCAUCUUUCCUAACCUACAGACUGGAGUUCCACAGCCUUCCACCAUCCAUAUCUGGUGACAAUGCCGUCAGGGUCAAUCACUAUUCUUCUCUCCCUGUCUUCUGUGGGUCUCCCCCUUCUUGACUCCACAGCUUACUGGCAUCUCUAGAACCCCACCUGCAUCUCUCUGACUCUGGGAGAGAGCCAGAAUCUACCUGGGACCCUUUCCCUGCGCUGUGCUAAAAUGCGUAGCUGGCUCGAGUGACUCCCUCCCUCUCUCAGGACCACAGCACGAUGUCGGGAGCAUCUGAUAUCUGAAAACUACAGCCCACCUGUGUUGUGCACAGGUUGUUAAUUGUGUUGGGUGGGAGAGUAAACAUAGACCCUGUAACAAUGUCUUCCCUUAAGCAGAUCCACUAAACUAUGGGUACUUUAAGGCUGAGGAUCCUGAUGCUGGAAGACAGCAAGCAACUUGCCCUAGGCCACUCCCUGAUACCUGAGAGCUGGGUUUUUAACUAGCCUCACUUUGUCUCCAGAAUAUCAGCAGUUAGCAUCCAUCCUCUUGCCUUCCUGAGAGCCCAGUCUUCAGUUCUACAUCUCUUCAAAAGAGCACCACCUUUCUGAGGGUGCUGUGUCCCUUGUGGUUGAACUGUCCAGAGCCUUUUGUAGCCGAAACCAACUCAUCUGAGAACUGCUCCAGAGAGCUGAUGUGGAUGGAUUCUUCACAAGUGAUCCGCUAGUGGUCUGUCAUGACAGUCACAAGGUGACUGUAGAUGUUAAAUGGCACCCAUGUAGGAGUAUCAUAAACACACUUGUUAACUCAUUCCUUCAACAAACGUUGAGAGCCCUAUGCAUGCCAGGCACUGUUACACUGUUCAUGCUAUAACAUCGAUCAAGAUGCAUGUGGAGUCCGCAGUCUAGCACAAGGGAGAAGUAAACAAAUAACUUAUACAAGAGCCUUGAAGAUGAAGCAGAGUGCCAAGCUAAACACAGCACCUGUGGGCAACAACAUAUGCUGAGUUCUUAGACUUGGCCUAAUAUCUUCUUUCUCACAUCAUUCCUAGGCUCAUUAAGAGCUUUAUAGAACAGUGUACCAAUAUGGUGAGAGGCCUGGUGCCCAUGCUACGGCUCGGGGGAUCUGAAGUGCUAAGGACCAACGACAAGACGUCACAUUUGCAAUGUAAGGGAAAGAGCAUCCCAGGCACAGUGGGCAGAUGUAGAAUCCCUGCCUGGUGCCAUCUCCCCCCUGAGCUUCUUGUUCUAAUGUGCAUGGGUGUGUACAUGCAUGUGUACAUGUAUGUGUGCAUGCACAUGCACAUCCGAAGACCUAGAAAUCUCUCUCAUUCCUGCCCAUCCAGGAGCCCCGGGCAUUGUUUUAUAGGAACUCCAGUGGAUGACAAGGACCAGGGUCUUCAAAGUCUCUGAGCCUUGAGUCUCCUCUGCUCUCCUAAGGUCAGAGGCUUCCAGAGUAACAAAAAUGUCAAGACAUUAAGUCCGGAUGUAAAUGACCUGACUCCCUCUCAGGCUUGCUGAGUGAACCUGAGCAGGUUCAAACCGCUUUGAAGAAGAGCCCCUGGCUUAUUGGGUUUCUGACUGCGGGUACCGGGGCUAGCCAAGACUCUCCCCCAAGUCCUUAACAAGUGAGCUCAUCGCUUGUGUGUAGAGGGAACUAUCUUUUGUCUGGACAAAUCCUUCCACUCCCACAUCUCCAAAUGGACUUCUAAAAAUACCCAUUCACGUGUCUCCUCUAAGCAGGAGGCCUUCCGCUCCUCUUCCACCCUCAUUCAAUCUGAAUGGCUAGUCAGAUGACCGAUGAACCACCGACAGAGGCCAUGUAAAACAACCAACAGGUUCCCAGCCUGGAGCAAUUUCCCUGCAGCUGCUGAGUCAAAGCCCAGCAGGCAAGGCUGAUCCCUGUGGGUGUGGCCACCUCACACAGGCCAGCCCAGCAGCCUGGCACUGUUUGCUGACAGGCCCUAAGCAAUGGAACAGCAGAAGCCAAGUGGGAACUUGUGUUUGGACUGCCAGUGUCCAUGGCAACAGAAAGAAUCCAAGGGGACUGACCUUUGAGGCCAUUUUACAGAUGAGCAUACUGAGGAUGCAACAUGGGCAAUGCGCUCACCUGUGGCCUGAUGGAAGCCUGAGAUUUCAACUCUGAAGCCCUCUUUGCUCCGAAGUUGCUAAGACAACACCAUGGCUUAGCAGUUAAGCUAGGCUCCCUCCCAAAGCCUCACCCACACCCCCAUCCAGAGAGGAUUUCUGUCUAGCACCAGUGGAAAACAUGGAGGUUCCCUUCACUCCAGGACCUUCUUGUGAAACCUAAGAUCUUUUUUCUCUGUGUCUGAGCCUGGACAGUCCAUCUACCUGGAGAAGAAGACAGAUAAAUCCAGCCAGUGCCUACAGUUUUCUUCCACUCCCUGUCCCUGUCUUCUAAUACUUACCAAAAUAAAAGCUUGCCUUUGACCACCGUA